CCUACGGGUGGCAGCAGUGGGGAAUAUUGGACAAUGGGGGCAACCCUGAUCCAGCCAUGCCGCGUGUGUGAAGAAGGCCCUCGGGUUGUAAAGCACUUUCAGUGAGGAAGAACGCCUGGUGGUUAAUAUCCAUCAGGAAAGACAUCACUCACAGAAGAAGCACCGGCUAACUCCGUGCCAGCAGCCGCGGUAAUACGGAGGGUGCGAGCGUUAAUCGGAAUUACUGGGCGUAAAGCGCGCGUAGGUGGCUUGAUAAGCCGGUUGUGAAAGCCCCGGGCUCAACCUGGGAACGGCAUCCGGAACUGUCAAGCUAGAGUGCAGGAGAGGAAGGUAGAAUUCCCGGUGUAGCGGUGAAAUGCGUAGAGAUCGGGAGGAAUACCAGUGGCGAAGGCGGCCUUCUGGACUGACACUGACACUGAGGUGCGAAAGCGUGGGUAGCAAACAGGAUUAGAUACCCGGGUAGUC
rnacentral:rRNA from 1 species